rnacentral:rRNA from 1 species
UACGAAUUGGGCUAGCGUUGCUCGGAAUGACUGGGCGUAAAGGGCGCGUAGGCGGAUUGUACAGUCAGGCGUGAAAUUCCCGGGCUCAACCUGGGGGCUGCGCUUGAGACGUGCGAUCUUGAGUGGGGAAGAGGGUCGUGGAAUUCCCAGUGUAGAGGUGAAAUUCGUAGAUAUUGGGAAGAACACCGGUGGCGAAGGCGGCGACCUGGUCCUUGACUGACGCUGAGGCGCGAAAGCGUGGGGAGCAAACAGG